rnacentral:sRNA from 1 species
UUUUUGUUUAGUUUCGUUGAUUUUUAAUAACUCGUCCAUUCUGCAUGUCUAAAUGCAGAGCCGUUCCUAUGUUUUACAAGGCUACAAACGACAAAAAAAGAGGCCAUUUUACACAUAUUCAUGAAGGUAAUGUACGAAUUUUUCAGCAUCAAGAUUUUAUAGUAAC